AAAUGGCGUCAACGGAUUACAGUAUCUAUAGCCAAGCUGCAGUGCAGCAGGGCUACAGUGCUUACGCUGCCCAGCCUGCUCAAGGAUAUGCACAGACCACCCAGGCAUAUGGGCAACAAAGCUAUGGAACCUAUGGACAGCCCACUGAUGUCAGCUAUACCCAGGCUCAGACCACUGCAACCUAUGGGCUAUGCAACUUCUUAUGGACAGCCUCCCACUGGUUAUGCUACUCCAACUGCCCCCCAGGCAUACAGCCAGCCUGUCCAGGGGUGUGGCACUGGUGCUUAUGAUACCACCACUGCUACAGUCACCACCACCCAGGCCUCCAAGCUGCUCAGUCUGCAUAUGGCACUCAGCCUGCUUACCCAGCCUAUGGGCAGCAGCCAGCAGCCACUGCACCUACAAGACCAUAGGAUGGUAACAAGCCCAUUGAGACUAGUCAACCUCAAUCUAGCACAGGGGUUACCAACCAGCCUGGCCUAAGAUAUGGACAGAGUAACUACAGUUAUCCCCAGGUACCUGGGAGCUACCCCAUGCAGCCAGUCACUGCACCUCCGUCCUACCCUCCUACCAGCUAUGAUCAGAGCAGUUACUCUCAGCAGAACACCUGUGGGAAACCGAGCAGUUAUGGACAGCAGAGUAGCUAUGGUCAACAAAGCAGCUAUAGAAAGCACCCUCCCACUAGUUACCUACCCCAAACUGGAUCCUG
rnacentral:lncRNA from 1 species